rnacentral:rRNA from 1 species
UACAGGGGGCUCGAGCGUUAGUCGGAAUCACUGGGCUUAAAGGGUGCGUAGGCGGCUUAUCAAGUGUUUUGUGAAAUCCCACAGCUCAACUGUGGAACAGCAGGGCAAACUGAUAAGCUUGAGGCAGGUAGGGGCCGGAAGAACAGUUGGUGGAGCGGUGAAAUGUGUUGAUAUUGGAAGGAACACCGGAGGCGAAAGCGGUGUACUGGGGCUGGUCUGACGCUGAGGCACGAAAGCCAGGGGAGCGAACGGG